rnacentral:rRNA from 1 species
GAUGAACGCUAGCUACAGGCUUAACACAUGCAAGUCGAGGGGCAGCAUGCUGAUAGCUUGCUAUCGGUGAUGGCGACCGGCGCACGGGUGCGUAACACGUAUCCAAUCUACCCAUAGCUCUGGGAUAGCCUUUCGAAAGAAAGAUUAAUACCGGAUGGUCUGUCACGGAGACAUCUCUGUGUCAGUAAAGAUUAAUCGGCGAUGGAUGAGGAUGCGUCCGAUUAGCUGGUUGGCGGGGCAACGGCCCACCAAGGCGACGAUCGGUAGGGGUUCUGAGAGGAAGGUCCCCCACAUUGGAACUGAGACACGGUCCAAACUCC